AUUGAACGCUGGCGGCAGGCCUAACACAUGCAAGUCGAGCGAAUGGUGGACGGGUGAGUCAUGUCUGCGACGAUGCCUGAUGGAGGGGGAUAACUACUGGAAACGGUAGAUGAUACCGCAUACCAUCGGAUGUGCCCAGAUGGGAUUAGCUAGUAGGUGGGGGAAAGGCUCACAUAGGCGACGAUCCCUAGCUGGUCUGAGAGGAUGAAGAGCCACACUGGAACUGAGACACGGUCCAGACCCUGACGGGUGGCAGCAGGGGGUAAUAUUGGACAAUGGGCGGCAGCCUGAUGCAGCCAUGCCGCGUGUAUGAAGAAGGCCGUCGGGUUGUAAAGUACUUUCAGCGGGGAGGCGUUACCCGCAGAAGAAGCACCGGCUAACUCCGUGCCAGCAGCCGCGGUAAUAC
rnacentral:rRNA from 1 species